ensembl:lncRNA
AUUUCUGACUCGGGAGAAAAUAUAAUCAUUCUGUGAAAACAAUAUGCACUGCAAUUGAAAUCUACAGAUGCAAAGAGAUGAAGUGCAAAGUAACACCUAAAGGUGUAUUUUGGAGAUUUUCUUUCUGGAAUCGUCUAGUCUGAAAAAAAAAAAAACUACUUUAUCUACAAUAAAUAAAUAAAUAAAAAAUAAAAUCAAAACUAAUCAAUGCAUGAAAAACCAUGAUUUUGCCUGUAGUGUCUGGCCUUAAAAUGAAACGCAAAAGUCUGAGUCUCGCUGUAUCGCUCAGGCUGCACUGCAGUGUCUAUUCACAGGUGCGACCCCACUACUGAUCGGCACGGGGGCUUUGACCUGCUCCGUCUCCGACCUGGGCCGGUUCACCCCUCCUUAGACGACCUGGUGGUCCCGAGCUCCCCCAGGAGCACCAUAUCGAUACCGAACUUAGCGCGGACACCCGAUCGACAUAGUCCACUGCAGCCCAGAACCCCUGAACUCAAGCGAUCCGCCAGCCUCAGCCUCCCAGCAGCUUGGAUUACAGGAGCACCAUAUCGAUACCGAACUUAGCGCGGACACCCGAUCGACAUAGUCCACUGCAGCCCAGAACCCCUGAACUCAAGCGAUCCGCCAGCCUCAGCCUCCCAGCAGCUUGGAUUACAGGCGCGCGCCACUGCACCCGGCGAGAGCUACGAGCACCAGCGCUGCUACUCAAUCUAGUGCUCACUGCGCCCUCUAGUGCAGCACAGUAGAAAUUAGUUUUUAAACUUGUUACAUUUUCACAAGUCACUGGUACGUUUACAAAGAUCAUCAAAACUGUGCUUUUAUAAAUGUUUCAACAUAAUUUUAAUCGACCACACCUAAUCGAUUUUCAUCUAGAUACGCCAUUCAUGUCAAGUAAUUGCCUUGCCUAAACCCGUUGAUAUAUUUUAACAUCUAACAUUGAAUCUAGUUUGCUCACAGCGCCCUCUAGUGUAUGAAUCAUGUAACCCCAUCUGAAGAGCGAAGAGCUUGCCGCUAUUCAGAGGGCAGAGACAGGUUUCAAAAACCCAGAGGGUGAGUAGAUGACAAGAUUUUCAUUUUUGAGUGAACUAUCCCUUUAACCCCUUAACUGUCACUCACAUUUUUGAACAUAGACUUGAAAGUGCACUUUCCAAACUAAAAUUUUUAUAAUUCAUGAACAAAAACAUUUUAUAACAUGAUAUUGAUGUACCAUUUUCGUGGUAAUGCAGUGUCUGAUUUUAAAAUGGGCUUUAAAGGAUGAAUUUUGAGAUUUUAAGUUUUCAGUUGAUAUAUCAUUUCUGAUUAUUUCUAAAGUGUGACAGAGAAAAAGGCAACGAAGAAGACUUUUUUUUUGACAAGGUCAGAACUCCUGUUAUGAUGUAGAUUUUUGAGGGUGCACUCUUGUCAUAAAUUAAUCUAUUACUUUUCCUACAUAAUUUUUAACAAAAAACAUUGGUAAAGUAUCUAUUUAGGAGUCUUAAACCUUUCCAACGAUAUAUAGUUUAUCGUGAUUAGAUAAGGAUUUAGUGAAGUAAACGUAGGCGUCCCGUAUACGGGACGGGGUGACAGUUAACAGGUUAAUAAUUAAAAAGCACAGUUUGGAGAAUGUGCAAGUUACAUAGGAUCAGGUAGUUUUAUUCCAGUCCAUCAUCGCACAUACAUGUUCAUUCACUUUACUGAAGUGAGA